UGCAGUCCCGCCGUAUCCUCGGGGCAGCUUUUUAUUUCCGCCGGACGGCGUCUCCCGCCCACGCUGCCCGGCCUCAGCUGAAUAUAAGCGCGGCUGACCACCCGUGAUGGUGGUUUUGCCCUGCGUGUUUCCUCCUGCUCUUUGGGCUCUGAGGAAGUGGUGACUGGAAGAUGAAAAUACCCACAGCCCAGUUGUGAUUCUGUGAUGCAGCCAGUCCUCAGCAAGCUCUGAUGCUAUACCUCAGAGAAUAAAUCAGCGGAUUUCUGGAAAGAAGAAUGACUUCAACCACAUCCCAGUCUCCUUACUAGACACAGAUGAAUUGUCAGACAGGCUGGAACCCACAACCUGUAGAUCUACACCCCAGAAUUCUAGUACCUGGACUAACAGCUCAUAGAAAACUGCUUUUGCCAUUGAGCUGCAAACAAAUCUUUAUCAUUUGGCUCUGUAACUACCUGUGAGCUAACAACAGAAUGGGCCAUGGUAGGCUUGUGGCCCGAACAGGCAAAGAUGCCUCCAACCCACCGGGCAGAAAAGGCUGAUGGGGGUUUUAGGGAGGUUGGAGCAUCAAACAAGAGGAUAAAGGGAUUUGGGUAGAAAGGGGCUCAGGGGAGGGAGCACAGAGCCCUGGAGCCUGGAAAAGGGAAUUCUACCCAUGCAGCUCCCCCUGGAGAUGGGUCCUGGGGUCCCUGGGCAAGGGUCAUUUCAAUAUGUGCAAGUUGCCUCUGCUGGACCUCUUACUGCCUCUGCUAGGCCCUGUGCUGCCUCUGCUGGGCCCUGUAUGCCCAACCUAGCAUGCAGGGCUAUGCUAUUCACCCUUCGGGGCUCUCCAUUGGUCUGGAAAUUUGGCAGCAGGGGAGUAGUAAUUGCCACUGCUCCCCCACUGCCAAAUUUUCAGACCCAUGAGGAGCCCUAUGGGCCAGAUGACAUGGCUCUGCUGGCCAGAUGUGGCCCCAAUGGCGUGGUCUGAUCUUUGGGCUUUGAUGAAUGCCUCCCCCUGUUUGUUCCAUGAAGGACACUGCACCCUGCCCCACAUGCACCAUAUGCACAGAGCAGUCUGGCCCCCAUGCAGCUGCUGGUCCUAUGGAGCUCCCAGCAAGUCUGAGUCUUUCCGUGCACCCGCCUCUACCCCCGAUGCCCCAGCUAGCCACUGACUCCCACUGUCCCUCCCCACCCAGCACUCUGCAGUUGUCCCCUUUACGCUGUAUCAGCCCUGCACCUGUAAGCCUGGCCCCCCCUUUCCACCUGGCCUGGCAGCCUCAGCCCCCUCUAGCCUCUGCCCAGGGCUGGUGGUGAAGGAAGAGGAGUGGACUGACUCACUGUUCCUGGAAGGAGGAGAGAGAAGACAGACCUGUGUCCGAAGGAAGGAAGGGGAGAGGGCAGAGCAUGUGGCAGGAGCAGACUGAUCCAAUGUUUACAGGAA